CCUACGGGAGGCAGCAGUGGGGAAUAUUGCGCAAUGGGCGAAAGCCUGACGCAGCGACGCCGCGUGAGGGAUGAAGGUCUUCGGAUCGUAAACCUCUGUCAGCAGGGAAGAACGGUCACUGUGCUAAUCAGCAGUGAAUUGACGGUACCUGCAAAGGAAGCACCGGCUAACUCCGUGCCAGCAGCCGCGGUAAUACGGAGGGUGCGAGCGUUAAUCGGAAUUACUGGGCGUAAAGCGCUCGUAGGCGGUAUGUCAAGUCAAGGGUGAAAUCCCCGCGCUCAACGUGGGAACUGGCUUUGAAACUGGUAAACGGGAGUGUGAGAGAGGAUAGUGGAAUUCCAGGUGUAGGAGUGAAAUCCGUAGAUAUCUGGAGGAACAUCAGUGGCGAAGGCGACUAUCUGGCACAUAACUGACGCUGAGGAGCGAAAGCGUGGGUAGCAAACAGGAUUAGAUACCCGAGUAGUC
rnacentral:rRNA from 1 species